rnacentral:lncRNA from 1 species
GAGCCACCCAGGUGACCCUUAAUUUGCAUUUCUUAUGGCUAAUGAUAUUCAGCAUAUUUUCAUAUACUGUGAACAUUUUAGUGUGUUUUGUUCUUGCCUUCUUUUUUAAAAAAUAUUUUGAGUAAUUUCUACAUCCAACGUGGGGUUCGAACUCACAACCACAAGAUCAAGAGUCUACUGAUGGAGCCAGCCAGAUACCCCUGGUUAGAGUCAUAUAUACUGAGAGCACCAAGGAACAGUGACAGUCCAUAGUAAUGAGCUUGUCUAGUGCUUUUUUUUUUUUUUAAGGAUUUUAUUUAGUUGUGAGAGUGAGUGCGUAAAUGUGUGUGAGAGAGAGAGCGCACGAGUGAGCAUGAACGGUCAGAGUGAGAAGCUGAGGGAGAAGCAGACUCCCUACUGAGAAGGGGGCCCGAAUGGGAGCUCAAUCCCAGGCCCUGAGAUCAUGACCUGAGCUGAAGGCAGGCGCUUAACUGACUAAGCCACUCGGGCAUCCCUCAUCUACUGCUUAGAUCUUGGUUUCUAAAUAUAAUUUUUCAAUGAAAGGAAUCAGAACUCUGGAGAAAGCCUGAUUUGGGGGUUGGGUCAAAGAAAGUACAAGAAGUGCCUAGAACACCUUGGGCCAAAAAGCAAAGAAGUGCUCAAAGAAUGAUGGGGACAUGUCAAAAGGGCACUGAAUGGUACAACUAUUUUGGAAAAGUCUAGCAAUUAUUUAUUUAUUUAUAUUUAAGUAAUCUCUAUACUCAACUUCAGGCUUAAACUCAUGACCCUAAGAUCAAGAGUCGAAUGUUCUUCUGACUAAGCCAGCCAAGCACCCAACAGUUUAACAAUUCUUAUAGAGUUAAAUAUAUGCUGACCCUGCAACCCAUUUCACACUCAAGAGAAAUGAAAACAUAUAUCCACACAAAGACUUGUACAUGAAUGACUCUAGUAGCUUUAUUUAUGUUAGCCCCAAACUUGAAAUGUCCAUCAACAGUACUGGCUGACACAUGAAACAGUAUGGAUGAUCUCAAAAACAUUAUGCAUAAUUUUUUUUAAAAGUACAUAUUGCAUGGCUCCAUUUAUAUGAAAUUCUACAACAGGCAAAAUUAAUUUAUAG